rnacentral:rRNA from 1 species
GAGAGAGAGCUUGCUUUCUCAAGCGAGUGGCGAACGGGUGAGUAACGCGUGAGGAACCUGCCUCAAAGAGGGGGACAACAGUUGGAAACGACUGCUAAUACCGCAUAAGCCCACAGGUCGGCAUCGACCAGAGGGAAAAGGAGCAAUCCGCUUUGAGAUGGCCUCGCGUCCGAUUAGCUAGUUGGUGAGGUAACGGCCCACCAAGGCGACGAUCGGUAGCCGGACUGAGAGGUUGAACGGCCACAUUGGGACUGAGACACGGCCCAGACUCCUACGGGAGGCAGCAGUGGGGAAUAUUGCACAAUGGGGGAAACCCUGAUGCAGCGACGCCGCGUGGAGGAAGAAGGUCUUCGGAUUGUAAACUCCUGUUGUUGAGGAAGAUAAUGACGGUACUCAACAAGGAAGUGACGGCUAACUACGUGCCAGCAGCCGCGGUAAAACGUAGGUCACAAGCGUUGUCCGGAAUUACUGGGUGUAAAGGGAGCGCAGGCGGGAAGACAAGUUGGAAGUGAAAUCUAUGGGCUCAACCCAUAAACUGCUUUCAAAACUGUUUUUCUUGAGUAGUGCAGAGGUAGGCGGAAUUCCCGGUGUAGCGGUGGAAUGCGUAGAUAUCGGGAGGAACACCAGUGGCGAAGGCGGCCUACUGGGCACCAACUGACGCUGAGGCUCGAAAGUGUGGGUAGCAAACAGGAUUAGAUACCCUGGUAGUCCACACCGUAAACGAUGAUUACUAGGUGUUGGAGGAUUGACCCCUUCAGUGCCGCAGUU